rnacentral:snRNA from 1 species
AGCUUUGCACAGUGGCAGUGUCGUAGCCAAUGAGGUUUAUUCGAGGCACGGUUAUUGCUAAUUGAAAAUGUAAGGUUUCUGGCCACUGGGACCACUGUGGAACUUCUUUUCCUACUUUUAACUGGCCCACAUUCGCUCUACAGAGAG